CAUGCAGUCGAACGGUAACAGACCCUUUAUUGGGUGCUGACGAGUGGCGGACGGGUGAGUAACACGUUGGUAUCUGCCUUGAAGAAGGGGACAACCGGUGGAAACGCCGGCUAAUACCCUAUAAACUCUGAGGAGAAAAGGGUUUCAUAAGGAAACUCGCUUGAAGAGGAGCCAGCGGCCUAUCAGCUAGUUGGUGAGGUAAAAGCUCACCAAGGCAACGACGGGUAGGGGGCGUGAGAGCGCGACCCCCCACAAUGGGACUGAGACACGGCCCAUACUCCUACGGGAGGCAGCAGUGAGGAAUAUUGCACAAUGGGGGAAACCCUGAUGCAGCAAUGCCGCGUGGGUGAAGAAGGCUUUCGAGUUGUAAAGCCCUUUUCUGAGUGAAGAGAGAGGACGGUAGCUCAGGAAGAAGUCCCGGCUAACUACGUGCCAGCAGCCGCGGUAAAACGUAGGGGGCAAGCGUUAUCCGGAUUUACUGGGCGUAAAGGGCACGCAGGCGGUUUGGUAAGUUGUGUGUGAAAGCUCUCGGCUCAACUGGGAGAGUGCAGGCAAAACUGCUAAACUAGAGGGUGAAAGAGGGGAGCAGAAUUCCUGGUGUAGUGGUGGAAUGCGUAGAGAUCAGGAGGAAUACCAGAGGCGAAAGCGGCUCCCUGGAUCACAACUGACGCUGAGGUGCGAAAGCGUGGGGAGCGAACGGGAUUAGAUACCCCGGUAGUCCACGCUGUAAACGAUGGGUACUAGGUGUAGGAAGGGGAAACCUUUUUGUGCCAAAGCAAACGCGAUAAGUACCCCGCCUGGGGACUACGGUCGCAAGACUAAAACUCAAAGGAAUUGACGGGGGCCCGCACAAGCAGCGGAGCGUGUGGUUU
rnacentral:rRNA from 1 species